rnacentral:rRNA from 1 species
UGGGGAAUAUUGCACAAUGGGCGCAAGCCUGAUGCAGCCAUGCCGCGUGUGUGAAGAAGGCCUUCGGGUUGUAAAGCAACUUUCAGCGAGGAGGAAGGUGGUGGACUUAAUACGUUCAUCAAUUGACGUUACUCGCAGAAGAAGCACCGGCUAACUCCGUGCCAGCAGCCGCGGUAAUACGGAGGGUGCAAGCGUUAAUCGGAAUUACUGGGCGUAAAGCGCACGCAGGCGGUUUGUUAAGUCAGAUGUGAAAUCCCCGGGCUCAACCUGGGAACUGCAUUUGAAACUGGCAAGCUAGAGUCUCGUAGAGGGGGGUAGAAUUCCAGGUGUAGCGGUGAAAUGCGUAGAGAUCUGGAGGAAUACCGGUGGCGAAGGCGGCCCCCCUGGACGAAGACUGACGCUCAGGUGCGAAAGCGUGGGGAGC